UACGUAGGGUGCAAGCGUUAAUCGGAAUUACUGGGCGUAAAGCGUGCGCAGGCGGUUUUGUAAGACUGUCGUGAAAUCCCCGGGCUUAACCUGGGAAUGGCGAUGGUGACUGCAAGGCUAGAGUUUGGCAGAGGGGGGUAGAAUUCCACGUGUAGCAGUGAAAUGCGUAGAGAUGUGGAGGAAUACCGAUGGCGAAGGCAGCCCCCUGGGCCAAUACUGACGCUCAUGCACGAAAGCGUGGGGAGCAAACAGG
rnacentral:rRNA from 1 species